rnacentral:rRNA from 1 species
UACGUAGGAGGCAAGCGUUGUCCGGAAUCACUGGGCGUAAAGCGCACGUAGGCGGCUUUCUAAGUCAGGGGUGAAAUCCUGGAGCUCAACUCCAGAACUGCCUUUGAUACUGGAGAGCUUGAGUCCGGGAGAGGUGAGUGGAACUCCGAGUGUAGAGGUGAAAUUCGUAGAUAUUCGGAAGAACACCAGUGGCGAAGGCGGCUCACUGGCCCGGUACUGACGCUGAUGUGCGAAAGCGUGGGGAGCAAACAGG